rnacentral:misc_RNA from 1 species
GAUGAAGAACGCAUCGAAAUGCGAUAAGUAAUGUGAAUUGCAGAAUUCAGUGAAUCAUCGAAUCUUUGAACGCACAUUGCGCCCGCCAGUAUUCUGGCGGGCAUGCCUGUCCGAGCGUCAUUUCAACCCUCGAACCCCUCCGGGGGGUCGGCGUUGGGGAUCGGCCCUGCCUCUUGGCGGUGGCCGUCUCCGAAAUACAGUGGCGGUCUCGCCGCAGCCUCUCCUGCGCAGUAGUUUGCACACUCGCAUCGGGAGCGCGGCGCGUCCACAGCCGUUAAACACCCAACUUCUGAAAUGUUGACCUCGGAUCAGGUAGGAAUACCCGCUGAACUUAAGCAUAUCAAUAAGCGGAGGA